rnacentral:rRNA from 1 species
AUUGAACGCUGGCGGCAGGCCUAACACAUGCAAGUCGAGCGAGCGGCGGACGGGUGAGUAAUGUCUGGGAAACUGCCUGAUGGAGGGGGAUAACUACUGGAAACGGUAGGUAAUACCGCAUACCACCAGACUUGCCCAGAUGGGAUCAGCUAGUAGGUGGGGUAACGGCUCACCUAGGCGACGAUCCCUAGCUGGUCUGAGAGGAUGACCAGCCACACUGGAACGGAGACACGGUCCAGACUCCUACGGGAGGCAGAAGUGGGGAAUAUUGCACAAGGGGCGCAAGCCUGAUGCAGCCAUGCCGCGUGGGUGAAGAAGGCCUUCGGGUUGUAAAGCACUUUCAGCGGGGAGGCGUUACCCGCAGAAGAAGCACCGGCUAACUCCGUGCCAGCAGCCGCGGUAAUUC